rnacentral:rRNA from 1 species
UACGAAGGGGGCUAGCGUUGCUCGGAAUCACUGGGCUUAAAGCGCACGUAGGCGGCUUCUUAAGUCAGGGGUGAAAUCCUGGAGCUCAACUCCAGAACUGCCUUUGAUACUGAGAAGCUUGAGUCCGGGAGAGGUGAGUGGAACUGCGAGUGUAGAGGUGAAAUUCGUAGAUAUUCGCAAGAACACCAGUGGCGAAGGCGGCUCACUGGCCCGGUACUGACGCUGAGGUGCGAAAGCGUGGGGAGCAAACAGG